UCAUUAUAAAAUUAUAAUUGUUAUUAACCAUUAAUUUGUCUUGCAUUUAGUCACAAUAGAAGCAAACAAUGAUUACAGGAGAUAUAUUUUUAAAGUGGCACAAACUGGAGAGAGACUGCUGUUCUGGGCACUAUGUUUAUCUGGGAAAAGUUUGACAUAUCAAUAAACAUUGGAAAAUGACUACAAAA